rnacentral:lncRNA from 1 species
AGUUACCAGACACUCCCGUUGCUACUUGGGUUGACAUUUGCAAUUCUUGUGUGAACUCGUACGUUAUACCAAACAUUUCAGACUCACUAUUUUACUUACCUGAGCCACUCUUCCCCUGCUCCACAAUCUACACCCACGCGCGCCCCACCCACACCGGUCUCUCUCCUCUCCAUUGAUCUAUAAAUAGUUCAAAAGCUCAACUACCACACUUCAACCUCCAUACACUGCUUCCUCUUCCAACAUUUUCUCUUUUACUCCGCCCAAAUUCACAGGUACCAUUUCUCUGCACCAUACUGCUUCUUCAUUUUGAUUUCUUUGUUUCUCUGUCUGCAGAUCAGUUUUCGUUUCUUUGUCUGCUAAUGGGGUUUGAAUUCUUGAAAUUUAGUAAUAAAGAGUUGAUUAGAUCCAAUUGUCGUCCAAUAUCACUUCCUUUUGUUUUAUGUUUUUAUACAUGUUUGUUGUUUAGCAAAUUUGCGGAAUCAAUUUCUCACGUUGGAUCAGAGGUCCAAAGAUGGUUUGAUUAGAUUCUGUAUGACGUGGUUUUUUUCUUUCCUUUCGCUGCGAAAGACUGCGAACUAAUGAGUAAUGUUUUUUUUUGAAUUUAAAUUGAUCAGGUUGUAUUUGGUUGCAAUAUAAGCUUGUAGCAUGGCCCCGGCAGCAUCAGAGAACUCAAUAAAGCCUACUGGUAUACUUAUUUCUUUAGUGAAUAUAUCUUGAGACUAUAAUUUCCUGUUGCAAUCUUUCAUCUUGACUGGAGGGUUUGUAGGAAUUCUUGUUUAUAUAACUG